rnacentral:misc_RNA from 1 species
CGGAAGAACACGACUUCAAAAUUCAACACCGCCACGCACGGCAUGUUACAUACCCUGCGCGGUUUUCUUGUUCGCCCUCGACUGUGUGUUUCGCCUUGUAGGUGUAAUAUACAUGCAUACACGUGGAAUAAAUCCCUUUCCCUUCCCUGCCUACUUUCCCGUUGGUUUGGUACUGCAGCGCUGACGAGCGCUGUAGCGAGUGAGUGCCAGACGCGAGUGUCAAUCACCAACCUGGGCCAACUGGUUCGAAUCGGUGAAUAUUUGGCUAGAUUUCGGUACCUCACUCGACACUCCAUCAUCGGGGAAGUAUUGUGAGAAAACGCGAUUAAAAAAAUAAAAAAAACACAGAAUCACCAAAAGGGAUUUUUGAAAAAUCACAAACGUAAAUUUAACGCGAAAAGACUAGUAUUAACCUCUAGCAUCGACAAUGGACGUGGAUGCGUUGUUGCAACAUUCCCAGUACGCGAUACCUAUCGGCAUUGUGUUGGCGUGCGCCAUUCUAGUGUUUGUAUUCGGUUUUAAAAAUGCGGAGCAGCCACCGUUUGCCCAGCUCACGUCGGGUUCCGACGUGGACCGGAAGCCAGCUGGCAAAAAGCGCAACAAGAUCAAAGAAAAGAGUCGUACUACCAAUGUACAGUUGACUACAGAAAAAUCAAGUCCUGCUAAGAAAGUAGUACCUGUCAAAGCAGAGGCUGUUAAAAAAAAUGCUUCAAAAAGUGAAGAGGUAGGCAGGGAACUCAAGGAGCGCAAACAUGAAGACAACAAGCCAGUUGUUGCUAGGAAAGAAAAGGCUGUCAACACUUUAAAAUCUGGAAAAGAAAACAAGGGAGAGUUAGUAAAGAAUCGAAAAAAUUUAAAGAAUCUUUCUCAGGAAAAGCCAGUUGACUUUGAUGAUGGAAAUUGGGAACCGGUUUCGAGAAAGGACAAAAAGAACAAGAAAAAAGAUGAAGAUACCCCAUCCAAGAAAAUUAAAAAGGAAGGAAAAAAGGCUGCAGAGCUGAUUACCAACGUAACUAAAAAGGAAAAGGAACAGCCGGAAAUUAAAGAUAAAGUGGCCAAGGAUACAGAAAAUAAAGAACUAAAAGAAAAAGAUAAGCAAGAAGUUGUUCUUAUACCAGUUACUGAUGUUGAACCAGCGAUUGAAACUCACGAAAACAAAGAGAAAGCCGAUGAGUUAGAAAAGAUUGAGAAGCCGAAGAAGCCCGAGAAACUCGAAAAAGUACAGAAAUCAGAAAAGAUAGAGAAAUCUGAGAAGCCUGAAGAAAAAAAGAGUAGUAGUAAGGCUAAAAAGGUAAAGAAGGAUAUUGGGAAUGAAAACGCACUAUCAGCUGAUGUAUCCUCUUCUGAAAAACCAGAAAAAAUUAUAGAAAAAUUAGAACAAGAAAAGAAGACAAAAACUGAAACAGCAGAGGAAAAGAAGGUUGAAAAAAUUGAAGAAAACAACAAAGUGGUUUUUGACGAGUUGGGAGAUGUGUGGACUGAGGCCAAGCCACAAAAGAAAAGCAAGAAGAAGGCUCGUAAGGACAACUGAGAAGAACAGGGCCAAAGUAUAACAGCAUUCUCUAUAGCAAAAUUAACAAUGAGAGCUGUUGCACAGCCGUGUUAUUAGGUUGGAAUGAGCAGAUCUGAUUUUAUACUCUGGACAACGCUCAAGCAGUCUUCUAAACUCCUCUUGCGAAUUGCAGGUUGCUUUGCUCAAAUCUGGUAUCAGAUUGGCAUCUUUCUUAUCAUCUCUAAGAAGAUCGUCAAGCUGGAAAGCCAUUACAACUAGGCUAUACUCUGUAAUAUAAGAAAAGACACAUUUGCUGUUAUGGAAAUGUUCUUUUCCUUUCAUUUUGCUUCCUUAAACAAAAAUUUUACUACUGUAAUGGAAAUAAACAUAAUGGUUUAGAA